UACGAAGGGGGCUAGCGUUGCUCGGAAUCACUGGGCGUAAAGCGCACGUAGGCGGAUUUCUAAGUCAGGGGUGAAAUCCUGGAGCUCAACUCCAGAACUGCCUUUGAUACUGGAUCUCGAGUCGGGAGAGGUGAGUGGAACUGCGAGUGUAGAGGUGAAAUUCGUAGAUAUUCGCAAGAACACCAGUGGCGAAGGCGGCUCACUGGCCCGGUACUGACGCUGAGGUGCGAAAGCGUGGGAGCAACAGGG
rnacentral:rRNA from 1 species